rnacentral:tRNA from 1 species
GGGGUUGUGGCUCAAUGGUAGAGUGCUUGCCUGUCAUGUGUGAGGCCCUGGGUUCAAUCCUCAGUACCA